rnacentral:rRNA from 1 species
UACGUAGGGUGCAAGCGUUGUCCGGAAUUAUUGGGCGUAAAGGGCUCGUAGGCGGUCCAUCGCGUCGGGAGUGAAAAGCUGGGGCUUAACCCCAGUCCUGCUUCCGAUACGGGUGGACUAGAGGUAGGUAGGGGAGAGUCGGAAUUCCUAGUGUAGCGGUGAAAUGCGCAGAUAUCGGGAGGAACACCAGUGGCGAAGGCGGCUCACUGGCCCGGUACUGACGCUGAGGUGCGAAAGCGUGGGGAGCAAACAGGG